CCCCGCCCCUAGGUCCUAGCCCAGAGGGCUGAAGAGCUGAGAGCUGCCUCCUGAGGCCGGGGAAGAAACACUCCGGCUUGCCGGCUCUCUUUAACCGGCAGGGGAUCCCGCGGGCUCUCGGAGGUCGGCGAGAAGUAGCAGCUCCGCCCGCCUUCUCCGACGGUCUCGCUCUCCGCCGGGCACGCCCUGCGCCGCGAUCUCGGGGCGGGCGUUCCCCAAGCCCGCUCUGGCCUGUGUACCGUUGUUAGCGACUCUCCUUAAGGUAAAGAACACUUUGCACGCUAAAAUGGCCACGCAACCGUAUGGAAAUGGUGGGGGUAGGGCGAGUGGCUGUACAGUGGAGAAACCCAGCAAACUACCUUAGCCAGGUGAUCAAGGUCAACAUCAAGAGAGAGAAAUCAGCUGUGAGAGUAGGUGCCGAUUGUGGUCUUCCUCCCAAGAAUACAUAUUCCCAGUCUAUGGGAAAAACACCAGCCAAACCCUGGUUGAGGGAUGUUCUACAAACUACUUGGCCAAUACUCCUCUAAAUUGUCAAGGUCAUCAAAACCAAGGAAAGUCUGCAAACACGUUGUUACAGCCAAGAAAGCCUACGGAGAUAGGAAAAUAAUGUAGUGUGGUAUCCUGGAUGGGAUCCUGGUAAAAGGACAUUAGGUAAGAACUAAGGAAAUCUGAAUAAAGUAUGGACAUCAGUUAAUAAGGCAUCAGUAUUGGCUCAUUCAUUGUAGCAAAAGCACCAUACUAAUAGAAGAUGCUAAUAAUAGAAGAAACCAAGUAUUAACUUCUCAUUUUUUUCUGUAAAUAGAAAACUAUUUUUUUUUAAUGUUCAUUUUUGAGACAGAGCACUAGCAGGGGACAGACAGAGAGAAAGAGGGAGACUCAGAAUCCGAAGCAUGCUUGGGGGUUGGGGGAGAGCUCGAGCUCACCAACUGUGAGAACAUGACCUGAGCCCAUGUCAGACGGUUAACCGAUUGGGCCACCCAGGUGCCCCAAUAUAAAAACUAUUCUUAAAAAGAAUAGUUAAAAUUCUUAAAAAAAUUUUUUUAAAGUUUAUUUUUGAAAAAAAUGUUACACAGGUAAUAAAUGAACAAAUGGUAAUUUAAAAGCAGUUUUUAGAAACUGAAAUUCUUUACUCUCCCAAGACUUUUAGGCGUGCCCUUCCAGAUCCUUCUCUCUGCAACACUCUACUUCUACUCUAGGUGAAUAUAUUCACCUAGAUGUACUGUUUAAAAUGAUAAUUGCAGUAAUUUUUUUUCAAUGUGUUUUACUCAUUGCAUCUUGCAGGGUCUUUCCCCGCAAGCGUACCUUGAUCUACUUGAUUCUUCCUAAGGAUUGCAUGGUGCGCGCCAUCGUGCGUGUCACCUAGCUCCUUAGGGAAGGACAUUUAGGUUGCUGCAGGUUUGGGGCUAUUGCAAACAGCGCUGCUGGUCUUGUUUCCAUUUUUCAGAGCGCACGGAGUGGGAGAGACUGGGCGCAGUAGGCCAAAGGGGAGACUCUGGCCUCGGCUCUGCAGGGGGCAGGGGUGCGGGUGCCUUGCGGCAGCCGCGCCCUCCGGCAGCCUGCUGCCUCCAGACUCGGAACCCCGGGACCCAGUCAUUUUCCACGGCCUCUGCAACACCCCUCCCUGCAAGGCGCGGCCCGUUUUCGGAGCUGGACUGCAUUUUUUAGAGAUGAGUGGCCGGGUGAGCCUGAAACCCUGGCCAAAGGCUCCAGUGCGACACGGAGGAAAUGCCCCGCCCCCACCCCCAGCAGAAGAGAGGCCGAGGUCAGUGGCACCUGGAGACUCUGCCGAGGUUGGGAAUUACUGCGGUGGGGGCGUCCGCGGCGACACAGGAACGGCGUCGGGGUGAAGCUCCCACCGAGCCCGCGGGGUUCCGAGGAAGCUUCCGUCGCCCGGCGCGCUCUGGGCCGGGGGUUUUGUCGGGGAAGGUCACCUGGCGCCCACCAGGCCUCUGCCUGGGCACCCUGCCCCGGCGCCGCGCGUCCCGGCGGCCUCAAAGUCAAGCUUCUUCGAAUGGCUCACUUUUUUCGUAGAUGAGCGACUGCCUCUUUAAAUACUACCUUAAAAAAAUAAAUAAAUAAACAAAUCAGGGUUGGAAUUCCUUCUGCACGUAGCACACACUUUCUGGCAUCGCAACUGAGCUCUUCAAGGCCAGGAUGGUGAAUAGCUACCACUGUGCUCCCCUUACUGUGACUCAACCGUUUACUUUCAACAAACGUGUGUGGAGCUCCGACUCGGUGGGAACACUUGGGUGGGGGAAACGACUCUAGGUUUGGUGUGCAAACACCUGGGUUCUGUCACUUGAAGUUACAUGUUCUUUGAGCCUUGGUUUUCCCGCCUAGAAAAUCUUCAAAAUGAUCUCUGAAAACCUGUAAUCACUGCUUCAUCGCUGAAAGGAGCUGCUAACAAGCAUCAAACGAGAAAAUGGUUUCUAUGGACGUGGCUCUGAUUCAGCCAGCAGAACCAGAGAUGGCUCAAUAACAAACAUGUCCUGUAACACCUGUUUUCAGAAAUAUGCAGAAACAAGAUUUGACAUCUUCGGAACCAGAAACUAGUCUAUGGAAAACUCUUCCAACCAUUGUACGUAUGGAGUUUUAAGCAUGUAAGUCUAUUCUACUCCACGCCUGUUUAAAAUGGAAGCUCUCUCUUAUAAGGAAUAUACUCAAUAAGGCAACGUAGACAAUUGUAAUAUACAAAGAGAUAUAAAUACAUCUUUUUAAAAAACAGUUUCAAGAAAUAUAUUUUACUAGAAUUCUGUGUAAUAAGGCACAAACUGUAGGAGUGCAGUGUGUGAAUUAAAUGCUUUCUGCACCUCACUGUGUCACAUCUCAACUUAUGCCAUGUGUUUUAUACUGAUGGAGUCUGUAAAUUCUAGAUGCGCACACCAAGAAAGACAAAAUUUUAGCAUGACUUUUUUUUUCUUAAUGUUUAUUCAUUUUUGAAAGAAAGAGCGCAAGUGGGGGAGGGGCAGAGAGAGAGGGAGACAGAGGAUCCAAAGCAGGCUCUUCACUGAUAGCACAGAGCCCGAUGUGGGGCUUCAAUCCACAAACCAAGAGAUCAUGACCUGAGCCGAAGUCAGACGCUCAACCAACUGAGCCACCCACGUGCCCCUAGGAUGACUCUUAUAGGAACUACAUCAGAUGAUACAAAACUCAAUUUACCAUUACGAUAAGAACAUCCAUGACAAGCUGGAAAAUACGGUAUCGAUUCAAGAAAUAUUUAAGAUUAGACAUUGCACAAGAAAACUUAAAAUGCCUAGAAAUCUCCUGGCCCAGGACACCUGGCUGGCUCAGUCAGUAGAGCAUAUGACUCUUGAUCACAGUGUUGUGAGUUCAAGCACCACAUUGGGCGUGGAGCCUACUAAAAAAAAAUAAAAAUAAAGAAGUAACAAGGUCUGUUUCUAUAGCCUUCUUGGCUUUAAAGUUCCUAUCUGGUGAUAAGGAUGUCUUUUUACUUCUUAGCACAGGGAGGGUACCUUUUGUAUGGGAGAUUUAUUUCCUGCUCUCCGGGGGACGGAGGAGGGUCUAAGUGUCUUGCACCUGCUGCUUCCCAAGUAGCUUCAAAUAUCAAAAUAAUCUAUAUUCCAUUGGGGUACCUUUUGGGCAGCCUGCCCCUCACCCCUACAACAUGACUCUACCAGCAGUAUUAAUUGUUUGCAACUCAAGUAGCUUACUUGUGCAAAUUCUACAAAACCAUAUGACCGUACUAGAAGAAGACUGGCAUCCCUUUCUAUUCUACGGAAGAAAACAUACUAUCAGAAAAGCCUCCCUAUAGAUAGAUUUCUCUGCGUUUUUUGCGUCUGACCCAUACUCUCCGCCCCUUAAGCACCACUGUUGUAGUUUCCAGGCCCUUGUGGUUUCUCACCUGGACUCCUGCAGGGCCUUUCUAACUGCUCUUACUGGCCCCAGUCUCAUUCUCCUCAGAUCUGUCCUCCAGGGCGGUAUAAGAUGCACAUGUGACUGUGUCACUCUUUUAGGCCCAUCGUGAGCUCUCCAGGAUGAGGUUAAGCUCUUACCCUGCCCCAUCAGUCCAUGUCCCGCCUCUCCUUUUGCAAUGCAGGCAAGUCUUGCCUCUCUCAAAAUGUCGACUUGCUUACAAUCCAUCCUUCCCGUCCUACCCUGCCAUGUCCCCAUACCUUUGCUCAUGCUGUCCCCUCAGCCUGCAGAAGCCUUCUCUCCGCUUUUCACCUUGGUUGCUCCUACUCAUCCUCCAAGACUCUGCUUAACUGUCAUCUUUUCUAGAAGCUCUCUGACCUCCUCUUUCACCCUAGUGGACUGAACACCUGCUCUCGUCUCUCUCCGCAGCCCCAAACUCCAAAAAUGAGAGGAAAGGACAAAAGUUGGUAUUUUUAAAAAAGAGGACAAGGAAUGUUCAGAGGAGCAGAAGCACUGAGCAAUUUCUGAGAGACUGAAAGUAGACAGGAUGAGAUAUAACAUUUCAGCCGAGCACAUGAGCAAACGGUGCUUAUAUUCUGGAGUGUGUAUCCUGUACUGUACAUUAUACCUCAUAUUCUGGAAUGCGUAUACUGUACUAUAUAUUACAGAAGCAGGAGCAGCAACAAGGACACUCCAUGCCAGGUGGGGGAGGCCUGGGACAAGAAGGAGCUAACGGGCUAUUGAUUGGCAGGUAUGAAGGAGUGAAGAUAGGACGAGGCCCAGAUGGAUGGCAAAGCCAAGGAAGAAAGGGUAGCAGCUAAGCUCCAAAGACCAAGUAUGAGAGCAUCCACCCAAGGAACCAUCCUGCCCAUCCUGCACAUUCUGAAUGUGUGGUGCACACAUUUGCAAAGUGGCUUUCACCCCUUCAUCACAGUAAGUUACGUAAAUAGAUCUUUUUUGCAGGAAAUCUCAUGGCCAAACAUGAGUUCACUACCAAAAAAUUAAAUACCCUUUGAGAAGCACCAACACCAUGAAAGGAAGAUUUAUAACUGAAGAAACAUAAUCAUUGCUAAUGUUUACUGAGCAUUUAUAUGCCAGGCACUAUUCUAAACAUAUUGAAUAUAUUUAUUAAAAAAAAAAUUUAAGCUUAUUUGUUUUGGGAGGGGGGAACAGAGAGAGAGAGGGAGAGAGAGAAUCCCAAGCAGGCUCUGCACCAUCAGAACAGGGCCUGACGUGGGGCUCAAACUCAUGAACUGUGAGAUCAUGAUCUGAGCCGAAAUCAAGAGUCAGAUGCUUAACCGACUAAGCCAGCCACAGUGCCCCAUAUUACAUGUAUUUAAACUUUAGGGACACCUGGAUGGUUCAGUCAGUGAAGCGUCUGACUUCGGCUCAGGUCAUGAUCUCACAGUCGGUGAGUUUGAGCCCGCAUAGCGCUCUUUGGUGACAGCUCAGAGCCUGGAGCCUGCUUCGGAUUCUGGGUCUCCCUCUCUCCCUGGUCCUUCCCCUCUCACGCUCUGUCUCUCUCUCUCUCAAAAAUAAAUAAACAUUGAAAAAAAUGUAAAAACUUUAACCCUACCAGAAAUCUUUUAGGGUAAGACUAUUUUUAUCCCAUUUUACAAAGGGGUAAGCUAAGGUGUAAGUGAUUAAGUAACUUCCUGCAAAGCCAUACAGCUUUACACCCGUACAGCCAUACAAUUCUUCCUGCCUCCAGAGUCAAAGAUUAAAAAAAGCAAAUAGGACAACUGGUACUGAGCUUUGAAGUAAGUAUAACUAAUUUUCUCAAAUAAGAGAAGAUGAAAAAGAACCAAUUAGAGAUGUUGGAAAUGAAAAAUAUAUUUAUUUAAAAAAAUUUUUUUAAUGUUUAUUUUUGAGAAGGAGAGAGAGAGAGACAACGUGAGUGGGGGAGGGGCAGAGAGAGAGGGAGACCCAGGAUCUGAAGCAGGCUCCAGGCUCUGAGCUUUCGGCACAGAGUCCAACAUGGGGCUCGAACCCAUGAACCGUGAGAUCAUGACCUGAGCCAAAGUUGGACGUUUAACUGACUGAACCACCCAGGCAUCUCCAAAAAUAUAUUUAUAAUUAAAGAAAGAAAACCACGCCAAGUGGAUGAGCUAAGUAGUAGAACGUAUGCCCCUGAAGAACAAAUGAACUAGCAGCUUGGACGAAGCAAUUUCCCUUGAAAACAGAAAGGGAUUAAUAAAUAGAAUGGAGAAAAGAUAACAGACAUGAAAGAUAGUUCCAGAAGAACCAUGAUCCAUCCAUUAGGUGUUGUAGAAAGAGACUAGAGCAAUGGAUGUCCAGUGAAAUGUGGUUGAUUGGCAACACAAGUUUAUUUCCUCUCCCUCCCCAAAUCCCAACACCACGGCAAUAGAAGAAACCCGCAAAAACAAAAGGAACAAGAGAAAAGAAAAUGGUAGACAAAAUUUCAACACACUUUUUGAAGACAGAAAUUAUAUGGAGGAGUGGUAACUGAUUCGAUAGAAUGGAGGAUGCUUUAACUUGGGUGCACUAGAGGGAGAAAUCAAGAAGUCAGCUGAUUCUCCCCACCCACCCCCAGAAUCUCAGCCAGGCUUAGCCUUACAGAUGUAAGCUAGAGUAUGAGGCUGCAAUGAGUAUGGGAACAGGGACAUAGGCAGAAACCCUACUCAUUUUCCCUGCCCCCUUCAGCAGAGGUUCCCCCCACCUAUGGAGAAAGGGGACUCAUUUGUCAUAUAAAUUAAACUGUGGGGACUGCAGAAUGGGACAUGUAAGGCACAAUGAAUUUGUGAGGAGGAAGUAGAGUAUGGGGCUAAAUAAGGAUCCAACCAAAAUCUGCAUAUUGAGUGCUGGGACCCUCGUCUCCAAGAAGUAGGCAAUCCGCAAACAGGGAACUGAAGGAUUCCCCUGGGGAGAAAAUGAGCCCCCCAGACAAAUGUCCUCCAGUGGCUGAUAUUUACUGAUUCCCUCAAUGCAAAAGCUGAUUGAUGCUUAAACACCCUCCAGUGAACACCAUUGGUCAACAAGCCCUACAGCCAUGCAGAUUCCAUUUACCAUUGUGUGCCUCAUCCCUAAAUGCGAAUGUCCAGCCUAGGAUCACCAUCCUGGGAGGAAGGCCUCUGAAGAGGGUGACCAACCGUCCUGGUUUGCCAGGGACCAAGGGGUUUCCCAGGACACGGGACAUUCCUUACUAAAACUGGAAGGUGUCUGGCAAGCCAGGAUGAGCUGGUCGCCCUACUCCACAUGUAUAAGCGAGAUCCAUAUGCUUGGCUUUUGCUUAAUAAUCUGCAAGCCUGGCCCACUUGCCCAGCUCACAGCCUGUGAGCACAGUCAUCUGCUAUAAUUUGUAGGGUGUGGUGGCAAAAUCUGCCAAAAGUUAUAUUAAAUGGUUCGUGACUUUUGCUGAUCCUUUUCCAGCCUUUGACAUGAUAUAGAGGGGGAAAUACGGACUACGCUAUUUGUAAUUGCCAGGUGGGUAAAACAAAGCUGGAUCAAAGAUGGCUUCUUUAACUUUUAACUUUACCGUUAACCACCUGAUACCACUUUUGGAUGGGUUACAGGUAUGUUUUCCUACCGAGCGCAGUGCAGCCCGCCUGCCAGUGUGGAUUCCGAAGGGUCAGCAUCUGUGCCAUACAGGUUGUUAAAUGUGGUAGUAACUGUGUCAUCCUGCUCUGUACUUGACAACAGAAAGCAAAGCGUUCUCUGGGAUGCAAAUUAUCUGCUUUUGACAUCAUGAACUCAGAAUGGUCUUAAUAGGCAAUCGAUACUGCUAUCUUAUGACCUCCAAAUACAAGGGCUACUGAUUUUGGAUCUGAAACAAUCAUUUUAAUAGAUACCCACCAACCUUAGGGGGUUUAUAGAAAAGAAUUAUUAAUAGUAAGUUACCUCGUUUAGUUCCCUUGGGAGUGCAUUUCACAACCAGUUUAACUAGCAGGGUCUGUUGUUCAAAACGAAAUGUGCUGCAGGUUUUUAUGUGUGUCGCCAAAUAGGGUGUAUGGUUACCCAUCUCCUGUACAGUUUCUCCAGGCUGAUUUUUGUUGCCAACACACAUUAUGAUGUGGAGCUGCGGGGCCUCAGUUACUCACUUGUUGCAUUGUUAGGGAACUCUCAGUUUCUCCUAAAGCAGCUUGUGGCUCUGCCAGCAGGGACUCCCUUGACGACACACUUUGGAGGGGAUGUGUGUUGGCCUUUGGUCGAGGAACACGUUCUUGCAGGCACCUGAGUUUUCAUAAGAGGCUUGAAUCGAAGUUCCAGCUCCAUUUAUUAUGAAGGCAUGUGGCUCCUGUCUUAAAUGGCAAUGGAAAGUACCAACAUUCCAAGUAGAAUCUCAACCUCAUGGCCACAGUGGACUUUUUUAAAAAGCUUGGUUAAAAGAAAUGCUGUUUGUGGAUGAGUGCCUACAAAAUAUGUAUUGUAUUCAGUCUCUAGACACAUGUUCUUAAAUAUAUCACCAAUUCAGCCAGAGCAUCAGACUUGUGUGCUUGACUGCCUCUCAUGGCUUCUUGACGACCGACUUUUAGUGGAUUGUGUUUGGGUCAAUGUCCCUCAACCUCUACUGAGGGACAUUAUGCAAAAUAUGGCUUUGAACAUUGAUCCGUUGUCUGUUGUAGGGAUGCUGUUGAGCACAUUGCUUCUCAUGCCCACAGUGGCCUCUCCAUGAGGACCAUUUGUAGAAGUGAAUGCACUAAUUGGUCUCAUGUAUCUGGAAUUAUGGAAUAGUUGCAUUUUUUUUUUAGCAACUUGCAAAUACUCUGGAUCUUAUAAUAGGUCAUAUUUCCCUCCCCUUAUAAUAGGUCACAUCUCCCUCUGCUGCUAGGUCUUAGAGCUAGGUUGAUAAACAAGCGUGAGACUGUACAAAGGGGACUAAUCACUCACAUUGGCAUAGUUGGUGAAAUGGAAUCAGAGCACGGGUGUUGGCAAGGUUCUCUGGAGGAUGUGCCUGCCAUGUUGAGUGUCAGGGAAUCCCCUCCCUGGACAAGGGUUGGAGACCAACAUAGGUCUCUCCAAACCAGUCUUAUAGAAGUGCCUACAGAUUAUCCCUCUCAUGUAGGGUUGGGGUUAGGAUCAGGUAUAGUGGGGCGAUGACAUGGGGAGAGAGACCCAUCUAGCUCUCUACCCUCUUCCCUCACCAGCUUUCUAUCUUUUAUCACACAUGGCAUGGUUGGAAACAAAUGGGCACCAUAUGGGAAGUUAGGGGCCAAUUGCUGUCCAAUGCUUCACCCACCUCGGUCUCCAGAUCUAGAUUCCAGUGUUCACUUCUGUUAUGGGAGCCAGGGAACCGUAGAUGUUGAAAGUAUAGCUCUGGAGUCAGAGGGCCAAUUUCAAAUUCUGCCUCCAUGCUCAAUAGCUGAGUGGCCGCGGGUAAGAAAUCUAGUCUCGUCAUCUGUAAGGUAGGAACGAAAACACAGCUUGCCAAACACAGUUGUUACGGAGACACAUUAUGUAACUACUGUGAAUCAUCUGCCACAGAGCUUGACGCAGCAGUAGAUGUUUGCUAUGAAGAAAUGCAUCAUGGUGGUUAAGAGUUUGGGCUUUGGAAUAGGAUAUACUGGGGUUCAAAUUCCAGCUCUUCCUGAGCCAGCUAUGAAACCUUGGGCAACUUUCUAACUUCUUUAGUCCUUAAUCUUUUUCUGUCUCCAAAUGGGACAAAUAAUACAUAUAAAACUCUUUUUUUUUAAUUUUUUA